GGUAAAUUGAAUUGAACUUCUCCUAUAAGUUAAAAUCAACUUAUACACAUAAUUUUCGUAGAAACUCUAUCCUAUAGCUUCUUCAAAAGCUGAAGUGUGUAACCUGAUUUUAGCUGGUAGGAGAAGUUCAGUUCAUUUUAC
rnacentral:pre_miRNA from 1 species